UUGCCCGAGCCCUACUGUUCCUCCUCAGCGUCGAUUCUUUCUCUCGCGCAAUCCCUGAUUCUUGUCGUCACCGCUGUUCCUCCUAGGCACCAAUUCUUUCUCCUCCCUAACUUGCUCUUGCCGUCGCCACUCCUCUCACCCACACUCAUCAUCUCUAUCGCUGCUUCUCACCCUUUUUCCUCCCUAAUUGACCCGCUCUCGCCAUCGCCGCUCCUCUCACCCACGUUCACGCAUCCUUGUCUGCGCCGCCAGCCGCUGGCCUCCAACCGCCUAAGCAUCCUUGUCGCCACCACCUCCAGCCGCCUAAGCAAUCUGAAGUUUUAUAGGUAUUUCUUUGUUACCUGAUACCUUUUGUUUUUGUGUACUUUUGAUUUUGUCAAUCCGAGCCCUAGAGAGAAAGGCAAGAACAUUUGGAACCCUAGAGAGAACAUUUUGAUCCGCCUCCAGCAGCCUAAGCAUCCUUGUGUACUGUUGAUUUUGUUAAUAAGGAUAUUCAGACCCUCCAUCACUGCAUUCUAUGCAAGCUGGAAGAUAUGCACUAGGAGGAAGCUGUGCUGGAAUAGAAGGAAGCAGUGAGUGGAGGUUUUGGUCUAAGACAUUAGAAGCUUAAGCUUUAAAGGUCUUUCCUUGUUACCUUUCUUAUUAUACUUGAAUUUCACUUGUAACUUAGUUCUUUAUUUAUGAAUGUUAAAUUUAGUAUAUAUGCAUUUUAAAAUUUAGUAUAUAUCAUACCGAUGAUUUCGGUAUACCAAAAUAUCUUUGAUACUAAGUGUUGGUACAAUCGACCUCCAAGGUUUUAAUGUCCGACAAAUAUGUUUAAGUAUGUUUAAUAGAGUUUGAUCAUAGGAAGUCCUAGUCAUUGCUAGGUAAGGGUGAGAAGU